GACAGAGGGUGCAAACGUUGUUCGGAAUUACUGGGCGUAAAGCGUGUGUAGGCGGCUCCGCAAGUCGGAUGUGAAAGCCCCGGGCUCAACCCGGGAAGUGCACUCGAUACUGCAGAGCUAGAGUGUCGGAGAGGUUGGUGGAAUUCUCGGUGUAGAGGUGAAAUUCGUAGAUAUCGAGAGGAACACCGAUGGCGAAGGCAGCCUCCUGGGCCAGCACUGACGCUCAUGCACGAAAGCGUGGGGAGCAAACAGG
rnacentral:rRNA from 1 species